rnacentral:sRNA from 1 species
CCCAGGGCUGACGGCCUGGGCUAUUUUCUGCCGCCUCUUCGAGGCU